rnacentral:sRNA from 1 species
UUACCGAUUACGUUCCUUACGGUUCGUGAGAGCCUUAUCAUAGAGCUCGUUCUUACUAUUAUAGCAGACGUCUUCGCAGGAAUUAUCUUGUAUUUCGUUUGCAAAUGGCUAGAUGGUAAGAAGCAGACCGAGUGACUAGCCUAUCAACACCCGUUAAAUCGCUAAGAUACGUCAAAAAAGCCCUUAACUACUGGCAUAGUUAGGGGCUUUGGUGUUCUAAU